UACGUAGGGGGCAAGCGUUGUCCGGAUUUAUUGGGCGUAAAGAGCGUGUAGGCGGUUUGGUAGGUCCGCUGUGAAAACUCGAGGCUCAACCUCGAGACGCCGGUGGAAACCAUCAGGCUAGAGUCCGGAAGAGGAGAGUGGAAUUCCUGGUGUAGCGGUGAAAUGCGCAGAUAUCAGGAGGAACACCAAUGGCGAAGGCAGCUCGCUGGGACGGUACUGACGCUGAGACGCGAAAGCCGUGGGGAGCAAACAGG
rnacentral:rRNA from 1 species